UACAGAGGGGGCAAGCGUUGUUCGGAAUUACUGGGCGUAAAGGGCGCGUAGGCGGCCUGUUAAGUCGAACGUGAAAUCCCCGGGCUCAACCCGGGAACUGCGUCCGAUACUGGCAGGCUUGAAUCCGGGAGAGGGAUGCGGAAUUCCAGGUGUAGCGGUGAAAUGCGUAGAUAUCUGGAGGAACACCGGUGGCGAAGGCGGCAUCCUGGACCGGCAUUGACGCUGGAGGCGCGAAAGCGUGGGGAGCGAACAGG
rnacentral:rRNA from 1 species